AUAAUGAAACCAGUCGAAUGAACCAGUCGGUGACACGUCCAUGUUGUUUGUUGUGAUAAAUCGUAACUAGAUUAUUUUGUAGUUUAUCUUAAAUUAAUGCCUUGUCACUCAAAAUGAUGCGAAGAAAUGGAAGCAUGCCCAAAGUAGUAGUUUGUGUUAUUGCCUUUUUUGGUCUGGUUUAUUUUAUAUACUUGUACAACGAUCUGUCGGGACAGUUGAAAAACACAGAACGUUCUGCAGAAAGAUACAGAAGAGAACAGGAGUCAGUAUCAGCACAACUACAAGAUCAGAUUAUUGCCAAAGAUGAGCUCAAGCAGCGCUGUGAUAAUGAUAAAGAACAGAUGACAAAUCGAUUAAACUCUCAGCAACAGCAAUAUAAAAUGCUCAAGAGUCAGCAUGAGGAUAUGGAGACUGAGUUUGGACGUUUAAAGAACGAGAAGGAGAAAGAGAACGAGGAACAUAAUAAACAAGACGAGGAGCGAGCCAUAGAAUAUAACCAAUAUAAACAGGAAAAAUCCCUCGAGAUUGCUAGUCUUAAAGAUUCUGUGGCCAAUUUGGAACGGGAGAAAGAGCAGUUAAGUCAGCAAGUUGUAGAGCUCAAGACACAGUUACAGGGCACCCUGAAUCAAGUGAAUCAGGCCAAACAAAGUAUAGGUAUAUUGCAGAAUCAGGUUCAAACACAACAGAAUGAAGCUAACAAAGCAAAAGAGACAAUUGUUACACUACAGAAUGAGGUUAAAACUCAGCAGGGAUCCAAAACCGAGAGCCAACUUCAGACAGAUCGACUUACUAUUCAGAGAAAUCAGGGUCUCCUUAACUAUGCCCAGAAUCUUGUUCAGCAAGCUCAAGCAAAACAACAACAGAUUGAGCAACAAUACCAACAGUUACAACAACAACAGCAGCAGCAACAACAACAACAACAACAGAAUAUUGGGGGCCAACAAGGGGCAAACUUACAGGGAGUUGGGCAGCAACAACAGGGAAUGAAUUUACAAGGUGGAAAUAUGCAAGCUGGAGGUGCUGGGUUCAAUCAGAAUAAUCAACAGCAGCAACCACAGGGUGUGUUCAUGGGACAAGGUUUGAACCAUGGUCAAGGAGGUGUACAUGGAAUCCAGCAAAAUAUUUUACCAAACAAUAACAACAAUAAUGUACUAGGCAACCUUAUACAUGGGGGAGCAGGUGGACUUAAUCCUAAUAUAAUAGGUCAGCAGGCUGGAAAUGCUGCCAAAAUGGGAGAUAACCCUGAGAAUUUUAAUAUAGCCGAUGAUAUAAUGAAAAGUUUACAAGACAAACAUAAACCUGUGGAUGCUGAUUUACUGGAACAGCAGCAGAAACAACAUCAGAUUAUCCCCCCUGGAGGCGGAGCUGGUGAUCAUGAUAAUUCUAAUAUGCGUCAUGGUGACAUGGAUCAAGGUGAUCUAGGUCAUCAGAAGCAUGGACAGUCUAUGCUGGGACAGGAUGGUCAUGGUAUUCAGCAAGAACAGCAUCAGAUAGGAAGACCUAACUUAGAUCAUGAGCCUAUAGAUAAUCACCUGGGCAGCAAGGAUAUUGAUACUAAAGUUCAUGGGGGUGAUGGUAACCAUGACAAUAGAAUAGAAAACCAGGGGCCAGUUAAUUUACAGGUACAGGAACCAAACUUACAUGGUGAUUCAGAUAAAAACAAGUUAUUAAAGGAUGAUGAGUUACGUUUCCGGCCUCAUAUACCUAUACCUGACAAUCAGAUACAACCAGUCGUCCCUGUAGAUGACAGUCAUAGACAAGAACAGCUGGACAUUCCAAUAGGAAAAGGCAACAAUCAGGAAGAUAACAGGAACGAGGGUAGACUAGGUGCUGGAGGAAUGGCUGACGAGGAUAAUGAUGAUGGAUUUUAUAGGAAUUAAUAACAAUCAGGACUAAUUAUAUGAGUAUGAUGAUGAUUAUGAUAAAGAGAAUGACAAAGAUGAAUAUUAAAGGUGAAGGUUAUUGAAUGUGAAAAAGCACAUUUGCCAGUUCUCAAUGCAGGGAGGGUGUGAGUUGAGGACACAGUCUGUGAUAUUGUAGAAAUACAACUUGAGAACCAUUCCGCACAUCAUAGCAACAAAGUCAUGUGAUUUCCUUCCAUAGCAACCAGAUCUUCAUAAAUAUACCAUUUGAGUUUGGAGCCAAGACUUUGUGAUAUUGUGUAUCCUAGCAACCUAGUCAUGUGAUCAUGUGUGGUGAUUGGAGAAACAAGUUGUAAAAAAUAUAUACAAUGAAUUUCAUUCUUUAAAAGGAAAAGUGAUAAAAAAACCCAUGUUGUUAGGUACACUAGUGUUCAGGUUAUGGUUAUCUCCCCUUUUAGAGUUGUUAAAUUGAUUCUUGAUGAAAUAUUGUACAUAUAUGUAUUAUCAUUAUCUAUAUGUUACAUAUUUACAACUUAUAUUUUGCCUUUACUGAGAAAACUGAAACAAAGUUUAAUGGUUUAUUUCAUAUAUUUAACCCCCAAUUACGGAUAAUAAUUUUUGACAGACUAGUUAAAUUUUCAAGAAUUAUGCCCAUUAUAAUGACCAUUUCAGUUUUCUUACUUUGAAACAUAUUAUUAUUUAUUUAUUAUUGAUACUUUUCUGCAAUGUGCUACUCAGUACAAUCAUGUAGUUUCAUCAUAUACCUUUACUCAACAAUGUUAGAAAGGGCCACAACUCCUACAAACAUUUUGUUAGAAAUUUUGUAUUUAUACCAUUAUUUUGAUUCUUGGUCAAGAUAUGUAUAUUGUUUGACAGUUUCAAUACUUUAGUAAAAAAAUCUCCCAAAUUGUGAUCAGCAAUUGUCAAUGUUGUUCAUAAUCUUUAAUGAGUAGAUAUUCUAGGCGAGAAUUUUUUUUCGCCAGUUGUUGUAUGUUUUGAGAAAGUUUUUGUUAGACAUUUUAUGUUUAAUUUGUUGAUACAUGACCUUUGUUAAUGAAUUACAUCUAAUGAAUGUGCCUUUAACAUUUUUAUAUAGACUUAAAUAGGUCCAAAUUUUACCUUAUAAUCAGUAUUGAAAAGUAAAUGUGAGAAUGCUUUAAAUGAAUACUGCUAGAAUUUUUGUAAUAAACUUUUGAACAGAAAAUUUGAAAAGGAUUUAAAUUUAUAUUAUGCAAUAGUAUGGAAAAAUGAAUGUCUUGAUGUUGAUUAAAUAAGAAAUACAUAAUUAUACUACUUAAUAUAAUUUUUUUUUAUUUAGCUUUUUUUGUUUGUGAAAUACAUGUAAUAGAUCGCACAAAGCAAUUUAUUUAGUACAUUAUGCUAGAUAAAGCUUUAAACCAUGUUAUGUCUAUAAAAACCACCUAUUAUUUUAGUACAGUAUUGAUAUGCUAUGUUUAGUUUGUAUAUAAAGCUAUAUAGUUAAAGUAUUUACACACUGUAAUGGGCCUUUAUAUAAUACACAUGCUAGAUGAGCAGAACAUUUUAAGUGAUAUUUAUCAAAUAUUUAUAUAUACAAAUGUAUAUUACUUAUAAACUUAUAUACAUAUUAUACAUAUUAUUAUAUAAUGAAACAUUCUGCAAAAAGAUAACAACAAAAAAAAAGAGAAAAAAGGCUGAAAAAGAAGAAUUUUGUAUUGAUAAAUUUAACAUGUCUUACUCUAUCACAUCACUAUGUUGAGGAUUGAUCGUGGAUGGGAAUGUUUUAGAUUAAAGCCACAUUACAUUGUUGUAUAAGGUAUAUAAACUAUGCAACCACCAUUGAUGGUGAUUUCUUAUUGAAAUAUGUCUACCAGUUUCAGUAUGAUAGGACAUUAGGACACUGGUCCAUCUGCCUGAGGAAAAUUGCCUUGUUUAUCAACUGACUUCUAACAAUGCCGUUAUCCAUUUACCUGUACAGUUUGACUUUUACUUUUCAUGGGACAAAUAAAGUAGUAUAGUUAAUAGGAAAAGUUGCUAUUAGAUAAGCAUUGCAAUGUCUCUUCGAGAUUUUAAAUUAUCACCAUGGAAAUUAUGAAUGAUAUAAAAUGAAAAUUUGUACUGGCACU